rnacentral:rRNA from 1 species
GACGUAGGGCGCGAGCGUUGUCCGGAUUUAUUGGGCGUAAAGAGCUCGUAGGCGGCUUGUCGCGUCGAAUGUGAAAUCUCGGGGCUCAACUCCGAGCUUGCAUUCGAUACGGGCAGGCUAGAGUUCGGUAGGGGAGACUGGAAUUCCUGGUGUAGCGGUGAAAUGCGCAGAUAUCAGGAGGAACACCGGUGGCGAAGGCAGGUCUCUGGGCCACUACUGACGCUGAGAAGCGAAAGCAUGGGGAGCGAACAGG